rnacentral:rRNA from 1 species
CCUACGGGGGGCAGCAAUUAGGAAUCUUGCGCAAUGGGGGCAACCCUGACGCAGCGACGUCGCGUGGAGGAUGAAAUCUUUCGGGAUGUAAACUCCUUUUACCAGGGAGACGGUACCUGGUGAAUAAGCCCCGGCUAACUACGUGCCAGCAGCCGCGGUAAUACGUAGGGGGCGAGCGUUGUCCGAAGUUACUGGGCGUAAAGCGCGUUAGGCGGGUCUUUAAGUGAGGGGUGAAAGGUUUGGGCUUAACCCAGACACUGCCUUUCAUACUGGAGACCUUGAGUGCGGGAGAGGCGAGUGGAAUGGUCGGUGUAGCGGUGAAAUGCGUAGAUAUCGAUCGGAACACCCAUGGCGAAGGCAGCUCGCUGGCCUGUACUGACGCUGACGCGAAAGCGUGGGGAGCAAACAGGAUUAGAUACCCUUGUAGUC